CACACAAUAUACACUGUUUUGUCUCACACUUUUCGCUUUCUGUUGACACUACCAAACCUCACCCCGCUCACCACCAAUGUUCACCACUGUCGCUGGCCACCGGCGCUCGCCAUCGUCGCACAUUGCCACCGCCACCUGCAAAUCACCAUCGCUACGUAAUCACAGGUUUUGAUGCAUAAUAUUAGGAGACUUAGCAACAAAAGACCUGGUAUCGGGAUACUCUAAAGGCCUUCAUUCUGACAUGGAAAAGACGACUUUUGGCAUGGAGUUGUUGAUAUUUCAUUUUUGUGUAUGGAGGACAAUUUACACUAUUGUAUACUCCUGUUUUUUUUUGUCAUCCUCUACUUUUGUGUAGAUUUGUAUUAAUUGUACAAAAUACUUUUGGCGGGGUACAUAAUACUUUUGCCAUCGAACAAAUAAUUAUUGUCGUGAUAUGUAGAUUACCUUUUGUUGUGGUAUAGAUUACCAUAGUAAUUUGUAUCAUGUCAAAUGACCAUUUGGCAUAAUAGUAAAUAUAUUUUCGUGUACGAAGGACAAAACUUUCAUAUGAUUACCUAUUUUGUAUGGAAUUAUUAUUUUGAAUUAGUAUAUAUUUGAUUUGUAUGGAAUUUGACAUUUAAAGUUAUUAAUUUUUGGAUGAUUAGAUGUGAAAUGGAUGUAGAUUGUU